CUUCUUUUUCCCCGGAGCUUGCUCCACCGGAAAAAGAGGAGUGGCGAACGGGUGAGUAACACGUGGGUAACCUGCCCAUCAGAAGGGGAUAACACUUGGAAACAGGUGCUAAUACCGUAUAACAAUCAAAACCGCAUGGUUUUGAUUUGAAAGGCGCUUUCGGGUGUCGCUGAUGGAUGGACCCGCGGUGCAUUAGCUAGUUGGUGAGGUAACGGCUCACCAAGGCCACGAUGCAUAGCCGACCUGAGAGGGUGAUCGGCCACAUUGGGACUGAGACACGGCCCAAACUCCUACGGGAGGCAGCAGUAGGGAAUCUUCGGCAAUGGACGAAAGUCUGACCGAGCAACGCCGCGUGAGUGAAGAAGGUUUUCGGAUCGUAAAACUCUGUUGUUAGAGAAGAACAAGGAUGAGAGUAACUGUUCAUCCCUUGACGGUAUCUAACCAGAAAGCCACGGCUAACUACGUGCCAGCAGCCGCGGUAAUACGUAGGUGGCAAGCGUUGUCCGGAUUUAUUGGGCGUAAAGCGAGCGCAGGCGGUUUCUUAAGUCUGAUGUGAAAGCCCCCGGCUCAACCGGGGAGGGUCAUUGGAAACUGGGAGACUUGAGUGCAGAAGAGGAGAGUGGAAUUCCAUGUGUAGCGGUGAAAUGCGUAGAUAUAUGGAGGAACACCAGUGGCGAAGGCGGCUCUCUGGUCUGUAACUGACGCUGAGGCUCGAAAGCGUGNGGAGCAAACAGGAUUAGAUACCCUGGUAGUCCACGCCGU
rnacentral:rRNA from 1 species